rnacentral:rRNA from 1 species
AUGCACGCUGGCGGCGUGCUUAACACAUGCAAGUCGAACGAUGAAGCCCAGCUUGCUGGGUGGAUUAGUGGCGAACGGGUGAGUAACACGUGAGUAACCUGCCCUUAACUCUGGGAUAAGCCUGGGAAACUGGGUCUAAUACCGGAUAGGAGCGCCUACCGCAUGGUGGGUGUUGGAAAGAUUUAUCGGUUUUGGAUGGACUCGCGGCCUAUCAGCUUGUUGGUGAGGUAAUGGCUCACCAAGGCGACGACGGGUAGCCGGCCUGAGAGGGUGACCGGCCACACUGGGACUGAGACACGGCCCAGACUCCUACGGGAGGCAGCAGUGGGGAAUAUUGCACAAUGGGCGAAAGCCUGAUGCAGCGACGCCGCGUGAGGGAUGACGGCCUUCGGGUUGUAAACCUCUUUCAGUAGGGAAGAAGCGAAAGUGACGGUACCUGCAGAAGAAGCACCGGCUAACUACGUG